rnacentral:tRNA from 1 species
UGUGGGAAAGAAGAAAAUUGUAAAUUUUCCCGUGAUUUAUAGUCUCCUACAGC